ACACGUAGGUAAUCUGCCCUUAGGACAGGGAUAACAUUGCUAACGCGAUGCUAAUACCUGAUGAAGCAACUGUUGAAUCAGAUGGUUGUUAAAGGCUGGCUUUCAGCUAGCGCCUGAGGAUGAGCCUGCGUCUCAUUAGCUAGUUGGUAGGGUAAUGGCCUACCAAGGCGACGAUGGGUAGCCGGCCUGAGAGGGUGAGCGGCCACACUGGGACUGAGAUACGGCCCAGACUCCUACGGGAGGCAGCAGUGAGGAAUAUUGCGCAAUGGCCGAAAGGUUGACGCAGCGACGCCGCGUGAGGGAUGAAGCUUUUAGGAGUGUAAACCUCUGUUAGGAGGGAAGAAUAAUGGCAAUUCGAACAGGGUUGUCAGAUGACGGUACCUCCAGAGGAAGCCCCGGCUAACUCCGUGCCAGCAGCCGCGGUAAUACGGGGGGGGCUAGCGUUGUCCGGAAUUACUGGGCGUAAAGGGCGCGUAGGCGGGAUAGCAAGUCAGUGGUGCAAACUUGAGGCUUAACUUCAAGCUUGCCAUUGAUACUGUUAUUCUUGAGUUCGGCAGAGGGAAGUGGAAUUCCUGGUGUAGCGGUGAAAUGCGUAGAUAUCAGGAAGAACACCGGUGGCGAAGGCGGCUUCCUGGUCCGAUACUGACGCUGAGGCGCGAAAGCGUGGGGAGCGAACAGGAUUAGAUACCCUGGUAGUCCACGCUGUAAACGAUGGGUACUAGGUGUUGGUUGUAAUGAUCAGCGCCGGAGCAAACGCAUUAAGUACCCCGCCUGGGGAAUACGGUCGCAAGACUGAAACUCAAAGGAAUUGACGGGGGCCCGCACAAGCGGUGGAGCAUGUGGUUUAAUUCGAUGCAACGCGAAGAACCUUACCUGGGCUUGAACUGCAGGUGCUAUCUCCUGAAAGGGAGUUUCCUUCGGGACGCCUGUAGAGGUGCUGCAUGGCUGUCGUCAGCUCGUGCUGUGAGGUGUUGGGUUACGUCGCGCUACGAGCGCAACGUCUGUCCUUAGUCGCCAUCAGGUCAAGCUGGGAACUCUAGGGGGACUGCCCCGGAUAACGGGGAGGAAGGU
rnacentral:rRNA from 1 species